AGGGAUAUAGUUCAGUGGCAAAGUUCCUGCCUGGCAAGCAUGAGGUCUGAGUUCGAUUCUUGAUAAUACUG
rnacentral:tRNA from 1 species